UUUGAUAUUCAAGAGGAGCUUCCUUUGAAUCCACUGAAAUAUGUCUGUUGAAAGGGUUAAAACCUGCAAAGUAGCUCUCAUCGCAUCAGUAAGAAGUAACUGUGAUUAAAUAAACCAAAGAAUCAUGGCACUUCUGCAUCAUGAGAAUUAAUCAUUGUUAUCACUUAUCAGCAUUAGAUCUAACUACAGAUGAAUUAGUAUCUAUGUAAAAAGUUACAGAACAUUAUAUCUCAUUAAAUUAUACGCAUCAGCAUAUCAUUGAUUGAAAGGGCCCCCUGCGUAUAAUUGUAAAAUUAUUGGAACACCAGUUUAUGACUCACUAUUUUCUUUAAAACAAGUUGCAAAACCAGUUCAAUAACAAUUGGAACCAGGCAAACAAUUCUUGAACUUUUUCUGAGCAAUUCAAUGUUCAAAUAAACAAAGAUCGAGACAGGGGCUUCAAUGUGUAUCUGAACCAUAAUUAACAUAACAGAUUCCAAAGCCUUCUUUGUGAGAUUUUCAUACAAACCCAUCUCAGUCGUAGAAUGACUUAGCCUAAGUCUUAAUUAUGUUUUACCAAACAAAAUUGAACAUCUUGACAGAUUUUCAAUAGUUGAACAUCUUCUACAUGGUCUCUUUAACGUUUCAACUUGAGAUUACUUGGCAGUUGCACUCCAAAGCUUUAAUGUCAACUAGAACAAUAGAAAAUCUGAUGCAUAAAGCUUUAACGUUUCAACUUGAGCAAAAGGUAUAUUAUUAUUAAAAAUAGUCUCAAGACUCUAGAAAAGCAAGAUACAAAAAGAGGGGAAUCUGAUACAAAAGGUAUAUUAUUAAUAAAGCCUUAAUUCAAAAAGUAAUUUUCAUAGCUACCCUUGCUUGCAUGAAAAAUUAUCAAUAACAAUCUCUAACAAGAUUCACAAUGAGAAGUAUUUUUCAAUGACACCCAAGCAAGCAAGCAAACACACACAAACAUGGAUUGGAUUCCCUUUCAUCAAUUGGCUUUACGAAAUGAUCUCUUCAACAACGCCAGUGAGAGCUGCAGAGGGCGACAUGGUGGGUUUUGUCAGAUCUAGUUUCUGAAGAUAAAGAGAAUGAAAACCGAAAAGAAUCGAACCCGUGAUCAUGAUUUGGAUCUAGAUCUCGUGGUUUUGGGGAUCUAGAUGGUGUUCUUGAGAUAUAGCAGCUGAUUUAAUAAAAAAAAUGUUUCAUA
rnacentral:lncRNA from 1 species